UGGCAGUGUCAGACAGACCCGUGGGGACAACACAACUGUCAUCACAGUAAAGAUGCAGGAGUGGUCUGUUCAGGGGGAAAUGUAACGAAGGGCAAGCCCAAUAGUGAAAAGGAUUGCAGUCGACAAUCAGAAUCUGUUCACCCUGACUGUGAUCACAAGGAGGACACCAGUGU